UACGUAGGGCGCAAGCGUUGUCCGGAAUUAUUGGGCGUAAAGAGUUCGUAGGCGGUUUGUUGCGUCCGCUGUGAAAACUCGGGGCUUAACCCCGAGCCUGCAGUGGAUACGGGCAGACUAGAGGUAGGUAGGGGAGAAUGGAAUUCCCGGUGUAGCGGUGAAAUGCGCAGAUAUCGGGAGGAACACCGGUGGCGAAGGCAGUUCUCUGGGCCGUACCUGACGCUGAGGAGCGAAAGCGUGGGGAGCAAACAGG
rnacentral:rRNA from 1 species